AAAUGAAUUGACGGGGGCCCGCACAAGCGGUGGAUUAUGUGGUUUAAUUCGAAGCAACGCGCAGAACCUUACCUAGGCUUGAAAUCCUACGAAUUCGGCGUAAUGGUCGAAGUGCCCUUCGGGGAACGUAGAGACAGGUGCUGCAUGGCUGUCGUCAGCUCGUGUUGUGAAAUGUUGGGUUAAGUCUCGCAACGAGCGCAACCCCUAUCUUUAGUUGCCAGCAUUAAGUUGGGCACUCUAGAGAGACUGCCUGGGUUAACCAGGAGGAAGGUGGGGAUGACGUCAAGUCCUCAUGGCCCUUAUGUCUAGGGCUACACACGUAAUACAAUGGUGCGAACAGAGGGAAGCGAACCUGCGAGGGGGAGCAAAUCUCAAAAAACGCAUCUCAGUCCGGAUUGAAGUCUGCAACUCGACUUCAUGAAGUUGGAAUCGCUAGUAAUCGCGGAUCAGAACGCCGCGGUGAAUACGUUCCCGGGCCUUGUACACACCGCCCGU
rnacentral:rRNA from 1 species